rnacentral:rRNA from 1 species
ACUCCUACGGGAGGCAGCAGUGGGGAAUAUUGGACAAUGGGGGCAACCCUGAUCCAGCGAUGCCGCGUGUGUGAAGAAGGCCUGAGGGUUGUAAAGCACUUUAGUUGGGGAGGAAAGCCUGAGGAUGAAUAAGCCUUAGGGGAGACGUUACCCAAAGAAUAAGCACCGGCUAACUCUGUGCCAGCAGCCGCGGUAAUACA